UAAACGGCUCUUUUCAGGGCCAUCAACAUAUUACAAAUAGAUUCU
rnacentral:ncRNA from 1 species